GGCCGCAGCCGGAGGGGCUUCCGGGGGAGGCCGCCCAGCCCCGCGCCCCGCGGGCCCGUAAACAAAGGGCGGCCCCGCGCAGGCUGCGCGCCCCCUUCCCGCCGAGCCCGCGGGGACCCCGCGAACUUCCCGCCCAGCGCGCGGACGCCCCCGCCCCCCGGGCCCGAGGCGGCGCGGGCGGGAAGGCGGGCGCCGCGCCGCGGGGGACUCACUUGGAGGACCAGCCGCGCCACUUGACCAGGUAGCUCCCAGAGAGAACUGGAAAUAGACGUCCGCCCAAAACUGUCCCCCGACGCUCAGGACAGCGCCCCUCCUGAUGGCCCCAGAGCGGAGUCAGCCCAGGCGCCCGUCAAGGGGGGAAGAGGGUCUUUUGCCCAGGAACUGGCCACACAGGCCUCGCCCAGCAAUGAUGGCGAGGUGUCCAUUCCCUGAGGUUUGGAGAACUCACUUGGUUCCCGCGUGGUAGUAUUCCGUUGAGUGUCUACACCACGGAUCGGCUCCUUGCUUUGUCGACGGGACCUGGCUAGUGUCACGUCGGAGACAGCACAGGUGGCACUGCGGUGAGCUCCACACAGGAAGCAGGUGUGCGAGGGCACAGGAGACACUUUCCAGAUGUGAGAUCUGGGGGUCGGAGGGUGGCAGAAGCCAGCCGCUCCUCCCGAAACCCUGACCGACGGGCGGCCGGAGAAAUCAAGACCCCGUAUUUGGAAGGCACGGAUCAUAUCUACGGCACGACAGAGUGGCUUCCCCCUCCGGCUUCAGGUGACUUUGUGAUUUGAACCUGGACACGCCGACGCCUCUUCCCACAGCCCCUCGUGCAUCCUUCCAACUAGCUCUCUGGCUCUGUGCUCCCUCAACGCCCCCUUACUCAUCACCCUGAACAACGAGCGGUUUCUACAUAAUCUGAGGAAAGGAUUUUAAGGUCCAGGUGACCAGAGCUUGAAACCUGAAUGUCUGGGUGGCUAAGUGGGCGGCGUUAGGCGCCCGGGACCCUCCUUACCCAUGCAUCUCCUCCGUGUGUGUGUGUGUGUGUGUGUGUUCGCGCGCGCAGGGUCACAGGAUUCUCUGCGCCCACAGUCCCUUUGUCCUGAACAUACACCGCAGACACUGCCCCGAAAAGCCAAACCAUCAAAGCCGUGUUACAUGUCAAGCCCUGAGCACCUGCUAGGGCACCGGGGGUGGGGGAUGGGGUGGGCUGAACGCCAGGGGCACGCCGCCAAAUAAGACAGGGUCGCUGCCUUCAAGGAACGUCGCCCGACUCCCAAACUGGCAGACGUCCUUUGACAUCCAGAUGUGACGCUUGGCCAAUGCAGAGCCUGGGGGGUGGGGGUAGGUUUUUUUUUUUAAUUUAAAUUGCGAUGAGAUGUACACAGCAUAAAGCCACGAGGCACAUUCACACUGUACUACAACCGUCACCGGGUGUUUCAUCCUCCCAAACUGACAGUGACCCUGUGAAACACCAGCUCCUGGCCCCAGCCCCGGCCCCAGGCCACCUCUCGGCGACCCUGGGGAACCCCGCACAAGGGGAAUCCGAGAGGAUCUGUCCUUUUGCAACUGGCUGAUCUCACCGAGCUCCGUGUCCUCCAGGCUCCUCCAGGUGUGGUCGGUGUCAGGGUGUCCUUCCUUUUUGCGGGUGGGUCGGAUCCCCGCGUGUGGACAGAUGCCAUAUUGUGUCUCUGUUCAUCCCUUGAUGGCCACCUGGGGUCCUAUGACUGUCGGUGAUGGUGCUUCUGUGGACACGGGAGGGUCACAUACCAACCGGGCUUCUCAGUGUAUUGAACUGUCAACACUCAAUGCCAGGGAGGUUUCACCCUCCAGGAAUAUCCAGCGUCCAGCCUCUCGUGAGAAAGAAGGCUCCGUGGGCCACACUGGACUGUGGUCCUGUGUGCCAGUGACCGGCAGCGAGCAGCCCCUUAUCCCGGGACAGUGGCAUCUGGACACAGACCAGAGGCUGACCGCUAGAUGUUAUCGUGCUUACUUGUUGUUUUCCUUUUAGUCGAGUUAAGAAAAGAGCAAAAUAUUUCCAUUACCUGCAUCUCUAUCAAACGUGAAAAACAGGGAACAGGUGGAAAGGUCUCUGUGUU